UGGGGAAUCUUGCACAAUGGGGGAAACCCUGAUGCAGCGACGCCGCGUGAACGAUGAAGCCCUUCGGGGUGUAAAGUUCUUUCGACAGGAACGAUAAUGACGGUACCUGGAGAAGAAGCUGCGGCUAACUACGUGCCAGCAGCCGCGGUAAUACGUAGGCAGCGAGCGUUGUUCGGAGUUACUGGGCGUAAAGAGUGCGUAGGCGGCGAGCCAAGUUUGGUGUGAAAUCUCCCGGCUUAACCGGGAGGGUGCGCCGAAAACUGGUUGGCUGGAUUAUGGGAGAGGAAAGCGGAAUUCCUGGUGUAGCGGUGAAAUGCGUAGAUAUCAGGAGGAACACCUGCGGUGUAGACAGCUUUCUGGACCAAAACUGACGCUGAGGCACGAAAGCGUGGGUAGCAAACA
rnacentral:rRNA from 1 species